GUGACACACACUCAUGCAUCUGCAUGCGUAUUCCGCUAAACCGAGACUGCCCAUCUCUCUCGAUCUCCCAAGAUUUUUCUGCUAUCGCGCUCAUCCGGGUGUUAGGCAUCCUCAGUCUGUCCAGAACUUUCACUGUGGAAGGAUGUGUUGGAGUGAUGUGUGAUUUCUUGUGCCCCGUACUUUGCUCGUCUACGUUUUGUGCCGUGUUCCUUCUUCUUCAAUUAUGGAAUGAUUUAUCGUUGUAAAUUUCUAAGUUACAGUGCACGCGCAUGUUAAUCGACGGUUGCCAACAUCCCGCAAAACGAUCGACGGAAGGAAAACGGUGUCCGGUUUUAAAAUAUAAAGAUUUCAUCACAGCUCUUUCGUAGAAGAGCGCACUUCAAGGACGCCUAGGAUACGGCUAAACAUGCGCAGCACCAGUCCGUGACGUCAUUUCCAGACAGGCGCCGGCUGAACACGCGCAGCACCAGUCGAGGAUAUCCUAGCGCAGAGGGUAGAAGGAAGAACGAGAGGAAGGGUAACAGAAAGCAACCGCAGCAUUUGGAAGGGGUGAAGCAUCCUGCCGUAUACAUAGUGUGAGUGUGCCAAAACGUAUGUGGAAAGAGUAACAUCAAUAAAUAGCAUGCGAAAGUGUGCAUAAAGCAAAACGAAAAAGCGUCACUACUACAACCAGCAAUCCGAAAAUAUAAGGGGAGGGAAAAAUACAAAUGUAUGCGUGAGCAGGACCAG